GGGCGGUUAGCUCAGGGGUUAGAGCACUCGCCUCACACGCGAGGGGUCAAUGGUUCAAAUCCAUUACCGCCCACCA
rnacentral:tRNA from 1 species